GACGAGGGGUCCAAGCGUUGUUCGGAAUCAUUGGGCGUAAAGCGGGUGUAGGUGGCUCUGUAAGUCAGGAGUGAAAGCCCCGAGCUUAACUUGGGAAGUGCUUUUGAUACUGCAGAGCUUGAGUGUGGGAGAGGAUCGUGGAAUUCCUGGUGUAGUGGUGAAAUACGUAGAUAUCAGGAGGAACACCGGUGGCGAAGGCGGCAUCCUGGACCGAUAUUGACGCUGAUGCGCGAAAGCCAGGGGAGCAAACGGG
rnacentral:rRNA from 1 species